rnacentral:snoRNA from 15 species
CAGGCUGUGAUGAUUGGCGCAGGGGUACGGACCUCAGCUGAGCCAUGGGAGCUGAAUGUCAGUGUCUCUCCUCCGUCCUGCAUGUGGCAGGGUGCUGGCGAGCACUGGCAUGAGACUGGUGCCUCAAUCUGAGCCUG